AACGCACAUUGCGCCCGCCAGCACUCUGGCGGGCAUGCCUGUCCGAGCGUCAUUUCAACCCUCGCCGCCCCCCCGGGGGCCGCGGUGUUGGGGACCGGCACCGGCCGCAGCCCUCCGGGGCUCGGCCCGCCGCCCCCCAAAUGCAGUGGCGGCCACGCUGCGGCGUCCCCUUGCGUAGUACCACAACUCGCACCGGGCCCCGUGCGCGGCCACGCCGUGAAACCCCCGACCACACUGAGUUUGACCUCGGAUCAGGUAGGAAUACCCGCUGAACUUAA
rnacentral:misc_RNA from 1 species